AGGAGGGACGGUGGGGUGCCCUCUGCCAACAUUGCUUACGGUUGUACCCAACUGGCACAUUUGCCCUGGGAGGUGGGGGUGGGGAGGCUUCUUUCCAGUGACCUGGGAGUCCUCUGACAGGAUCCCUCCACCAGCCUCUUCGGAGUGCUGGUCCUCUACCAAGAAGAAGGACACCUGCAGACCAUACAAGUUCAGGGAGAGCUGAGUUUGUGGAUGGUACCUUUCCUGUUUUUCACAUGACUGAGAGGAACCAAACCCAGCCACUCCAGCUCCUGACUCAGAAUGUCCUCAGAAUGAGGGACCAGGGCACCCAGAGACCCGACUUCAUCUGCAGGACAGCGAGUGUCCAUCUGUGACUGACCACUGACUCUCAG